rnacentral:sRNA from 1 species
UCAAAAACUAGGGCUAUAACAAAAAAGUUGUCAACUAAAAAAUUGUAGAG